UACGUAGGUGGCAAGCGUUGUCCGGAAUUAUUGGGCGUAAAGAGCUCGUAGGCGGUCUGUUGCGUCCGCUGUGAAAACUCGGGGCUUAACCCCGAGCCUGCAGUGGAUACGGGCAGACUAGAGGUAGGUAGGGGAGAAUGGAAUUCCCGGUGUAGCGGUGAAAUGCGCAGAUAUCGGGAGGAACACCGGUGGCGAAGGCGGGUCUCUGGGCAAUUCCUGACGCUGAGGCGCGAAAGCGUGGGGAGCAAACGGG
rnacentral:rRNA from 1 species